rnacentral:tRNA from 1 species
GCCGGGAUGGCGGAAUGGUAGACGCAGCGGACUUAAAAUCCGCUGGGAGUGAAACUCCCGUGAGGGUUCAAGUCCCUCUCCCGGCA